rnacentral:rRNA from 1 species
GGUGAACGCUGGCGGCGUGCCUAAUACAUGCAAGUCGAGCGAACAGACGAGGAGCUUGCUCCUCUGACGUUAGCGGCGGACGGGUGAGUAACACGUGGAUAACCUACCUAUAAGACUGGGAUAACUUCGGGAAACCGGAGCUAAUACCGGAUAAUAUAUUGAACCGCAUGGUUCAAUAGUGAAAGACGGUUUUGCUGUCACUUAUAGAUGGAUCCGCGCCGCAUUAGCUAGUUGGUAAGGUAACGACUUACCAAGGCAACGAUGCGUAGCCGACCUGAGAGGGUGAUCGGCCACACUGGAACUGAGACACGGUCCAGACUCCUACGGGAGGCAGCAGUAGGGAAUCUUCCGCAAUGGGCGAAAGCCUGACGGAGCAACGCCGCGUGAGUGAUGAAGGUCUUCGGAUCGUAAAACUCUGUUAUUAGGGAAGAACAAAUGUGUAAGUAACUAUGCACGUCUUGACGGUACCUAAUCAGAAAGCCACGGCUAACUACGUG